AAAACUCUGUUGUUAGUGAAGAACAAGUACCGUUCAAAUAGGUCGGUACCUUGACGGUAACUAACGAGAAAGCCACGGCUAACUACGUGCCAGCAGCCGCGGUAAUACGUAGGUGGCAAGCGUUGUCCGGAAUUAUUGGGCGUAAAGGGCGCGCAGGCGACCGAUUAAGUCUGAUGUGAAAUCCCACGGCUUAACCGUGGAAGGUCAUUGGAAACUGAUUGGCUUGAGUGCAGAAGAGGAGAGUGGAAUUCCACGUGUAGCGGUGAAAUGCGUAGAUAUGUGGAGGAACACCAGUGGCGAAGGCGGCUCUCUGGUCUGCAACUGACGCUGAGGCGCGAAAGCGUGGAUAGCAAACAGGAUUAGAUACCCUGGUAGUCCACGCUGUAAACGAUGAGUGCUAAGUGUCAGGGGGUUUCCGCCCCUUGGUGCUGGAGUUAACGCAUUAAGCACUCCGCCUGGGGAUUACGGCCGCAAGGCUGAAACUCAAAGGAAUUGACGGGGGCCCGCACAAGCGGUGGAGCAUGUGGUUUAAUUCGAAGCUACGCGAAGAACCUUACCAGGUCUUGACAUCCUCUGCUACUUUUAGAGAUAAAAGGUUUCCCUUCGGGGGACAGAGUGAC
rnacentral:rRNA from 1 species